GUGACGUUAGCUCAGUUGGCAGAGCUUUGGAUUGUGAUUCAAGGGCCGCCGCCGUAGCGACGGCCGAUUCGAAUCCGGUACGUCACCCCA
rnacentral:tRNA from 1 species